GGGUGGGGCAGGCGCAAGCGCAGAGAGCGCGGGCGCGGUUGCCGUGGCAGCGCCUGCCCGAGGGAGGGCGGCGGCGCGGGGCCAGGACCCCGGCAGGCAGAGGCGGCGACGCGGCCACCGGAGAGUGUGCGGCGGGGCAGCUGAGCGGCGGGUGCCCCGCCCUGCUGGCCGGUGGGGAUGCGGGACCGGCUGCCCGACCUCACGGCGUGUAGGACAAACGACGAUGGAGACACUGCUGUCGUCAUUGUGGAGAAGGAUCAUUUCAUGGACGGUUUCUUCCAUCAGGUAGAGGAGAUUCGAAGCAGCAUAGCCAGGAUUGCUCAGCAUGUAGAAGACGUGAAGAAGAACCACAGCAUCAUCCUGUCUGCUCCAAACCCAGAAGGAAAAAUAAAAGAAGAGCUGGAGGACCUGAACAAAGAGAUCAAGAAAACUGCUAACAGGAUCCGGGGCAAGCUGAAGUCUAUUGAGCAGAGCUGUGAUCAGGACGAGAAUGGGAACCGAACUUCAGUGGAUCUGCGGAUACGAAGGACCCAGCACUCGGUGCUGUCACGGAAGUUUGUGGACGUCAUGACAGAAUACAAUGAAGCGCAGAUCCUGUUCCGGGAGCGAAGCAAAGGCCGCAUCCAGCGCCAGCUGGAGAUCAUUCCCGUUGUCUCUCAGCUGGGAGGACCACCACUGACGACGAGCUGGAAGAGAUGCUGGAGAGCGGGAAGCCGUCCAUCUUCAUCUCGGAUAUUAUAUCAGAUUCACAAAUCACUAGGCAAGCUCUCAAUGAGAUCGAGUCCCGCCACAAAGACAUCAUGAAGCUGGAGACCAGCAUCCGAGAGCUGCACGAGAUGUUCAUGGAUAUGGCCAUGUUUGUCGAGACUCAGACUCUGUCUCCUCCUGGACGGGACCCAGGGUGAAAUGGUCAACAACAUCGAGAGAAAUGUGGUGAACUCUGUAGAUUACGUGGAACAUGCCAAGGAAGAGACGAAGAAAGCCAUCAAAUACCAGAGCAAGGCCAGGCGGAAAAAGUGGAUAAUUGCUGCUGUGGCGGUGGCUGUCAUUGCCGUCCUGGCUCUAAUCAUUGGCUUGUCGGUUGGCAAAUGAUUGCGUAGAUGGCGCUGGGUGCUUGCCUCUCCCUCAGGGUGGCAAAGGUGAUGUUCGUCCUCAUUUGUGUAGUCACUUUGCUUGUGAUCCUUGGAAUUAUUCUCGCAACAGCAUUGUCAUAGCAACCGUACCCCAAGAGCUCUUUGUCCUCGGUGACUCCGACCAUACCUGCAGCUUAGUCAGCAUCCUGUCCUUCCACGAGUGAACCUCAGACUCCAGGGCUAGCGCCGAGCACUGAGGUUUUUAUUGGUGAUGAAGAAGAAAGCACCGCAGAGGUUUCGUACCAUGAAACACCGCGAGCCCAGUGGAUGCGACAUGCCAGCCCAGAGAGCCUGGGUCUCUCUCAAGGACACCACAGAGAUUUCACAACAGUGGCCUUGCCUUGGUAGCUUUGAAAUAGGAAUGAUUGAAAAAGCCUAAUUUUUAAAGACAAUGUCAGUGUUAAAAAUGUAUGUUGUGUGUAAUUAGGGUGUGCUCUGCGCUCAGCUGGCAGUGCUGACGAAGAGACUUCGUGCCAGGCCUGAUCUCUGUUCAUGUCUUGUUUGCAGAAUCAUCACAGAACUGUUUUGUAAGGCAUCUGUAAGUUAAGUUCCUUAAUCUAUUAACAUCUAAACUCCCUUUCUAAGCUAGACACUGCCUUGUGAAGGACAAUGGGCCAGCCCCGGGCAAGCAUGAACACUGCCUUACAGCCCCUCAGGGCCCUUCUAUAGUGCCUUCUGGUGACCCUGACUAGGAAGUGUGAGGGUCUGAAGAGCCUUGAACGUUAGCUCACGGAGGGGACAAGCAGUCACAUGCCGCACUCAUGUUACUCUUCCUUGUUCAUGUGAGCUGAUGGAGUCUCAAGGCAAGGCGACAGUGACGAUGGAGCAAACUUGGUGCUCACUAAACUCAAGAGAAUGGUCCCGGGUACAUAGCCACUCCUGGAUGGCACCUGAAGGACCAGGUCCUCAGCCCAACACCCACGAGUGCCCAGAGUUCCUAAGAAACCAUGAAGUGUGGGAUAAAGCUGUGCACUGGUUUACACUUGUGAAUAGAUGGCCCAGCGACCAAGUAUGUGAAGGAUACCAUGACUAGUGAACUCUGCCAACUGCUGACUGUGAUGAGUGCUCACUCUACCCCAGCCUCACUUGGUGGGAUAUGAUGUAGCCAUGCCGGGUCAGAACACCAAGUGUGAGCAAGUGCUACUGAACUAUCUAAAAACCAUGAUCCUUUCAGUGGUGAGUGUGCCACACUGUCACCUCCUCACACCUCCUGGUCUGACACCCCAUGUGCCGAGAGCUACUGCAGCAGGCUGGGCUGUGGGUCCUGGUCUAGAGUUAGCCUGUAGUGCAGCCACUCCUGGCUGAUAGCUCACCCUUCCUAACUGGGAGCUCACCCUUCCUGCCUGGAAGCUCACACUUCCUGUCUGGGAGCUCACCCUUCUUGCCUGGGAGCUCACACUUCCUGUCUGGGAGCUCACACUUCCUUCCUGGGAGCUCACACUUCCUGCCUGGGAGCUCACCCUUCCUGCCUGGGAGCUCACACUUCCUGCCUGGGAGCUCUGAAGAUGAACCUGGGCCUUUGCAGCUCACCCUCUCUGCAUCAGUCAGUGCCAUCGGAUUUAGCUGCAGAGACCAUGCGUACCACCCAGGCUCCCACCACCCACAGCCAGGUGUCCCUCCAGUCCAGCCUGAGCCCUUGGCCUGCAGUGUGCUCGCAGAGCGCUCAGGAGACCUCUCGACCAGGCAGGCAGCUGAAUCUGGAUUUCCAGUGAAUCAGGGGUGUGUGGGUGACUGAGUCAGCACUCCAGAUACAUCUCUCUGCUGACUUCAUAGCCUAUUUAAAAAUAUAUUUACAGAUUCCCUUGUUACCUUUUCCAAGCAUUUCUUCAAAUAUUUUGUGUUUACAUUAAAAAGUUCUCAGAGAUGCAAACAAGAAA